UAAAAAAAUAGGAAUUGAACCUAUAAUUAAGAGAUCAAAACUC
rnacentral:tRNA from 1 species